AGAAACGAGACCAUGACAUUACAACUAACAACCUUAAACGUCAAAGGGCUCAAUGCGCCACGGAAGAGGCGGCUACUCUUUAGAGAACUCAAGCGGUUGAGAGCAGAUGUAGCCUUCCUUCAGGAAACACAUUUGCCAAAAAGCGUUAGGUUUGGGCUGCGAGACCGUAUUUAUUCCGUGGCUUAUGAGGAAAGGGCAUUCCGAAAACAGAACGGAGUGGCG